AGCAAAAUACCAAGGUUAGAGACUCAAUUCACGAGCUAGAGCAACAGAAGUUAGAGCAGAGGCCCAAUCCACGAGUCCAACAAAUCUGAAAUUGGUGAAGUAAAAUUAAUUUUGGCGAGACAAAAGAGGCGGGAGUGAAAUAAUGAAGGACGGGUUUAUUAUAUUUGAGGCAAAGGAUAAAAUGUUAUGGACUUGGGAGUUUAAUGGUCAAUAUUGUGUAGCUUCAUUUUGUAAUCAUCAUCAAGCUUCAUAUGGUCUCUCAAGUGCAAUAACUCUGUUUUUGACAAUGAAAUUGCAAAAUGAAAGGAAGUUGUGGACAUUAUCCUAGUGAGAGCUAUGCACCAGGUGAAGGCUUAUAAGGGGAUAAAUGAGUGCUCAAUUAACAACUUCAUUACUUGCCUAGAUCAGAUUUGAAGCUCUGGUAAAAGGAAUUCAACAAAGUAUGAUUACAAGAAUAGAAGCACUUAUAUGCUGGGAGGUAUGAUGAAUCAUGGAGCUCUUCAGAGAGCCUUGUAGCAAAACUCGAAGCCAAUGUGAGGAAAUCAGCAUUUUUAGCAUUUUUUUUUAAAAUCAAAACGCCACAAGAUUAAAAAAAUGUCACUAGAGGAAUAGUUUUGUGGCAUUUUCAUGUGUUACUAAACUAAGAAAAUAUUGUAGUAUCAUGAAAUUAAUCGAGGUGCGGGCAAACUGGUUGGAUUGGGUUUGUAACGCUCCAAAAUAAAUGCAAUAAACCUAUCUCAU